rnacentral:rRNA from 1 species
AGUGAACGCUGGCGGUAGGCCUAACGCAUGCAAGUCGAACGGCAGCACAGUAAGAGCUUGCUCUUACGGGUGGCGAGUGGCGGACGGGUGAGGAAUACAUCGGAAUCUACUUUUUCGUGGGGGGUAACGUAGGGAAACUUACGCUAAUACCGCAUACGACCUACGGGUGAAAGCAGGGGAUCUUCGGACCUUGCGCGAUUGAAUGAGCCGAUGUCGGAUUAGCUAGUUGGCGGGGUAAAGGCCCACCAAGGCGACGAUCCGUAGCUGGUCUGAGAGGAUGUUCAGCCACACUGGAACUGAGACACGGUCCAGACUCCUACGGGAGGCAGCAGUGGGGAAUAUUGGACAAUGGGCGCAAGCCUGAUCCAGCCAUACCGCGUGGGUGAAGAAGGCCUUCGGGUUGUAAAGCCCUUUUGUUGGGAAAGAAAAGCAGCAGGUUAAUACCCCGCUGUUCUGACGGUACCCAAAGAAGAAGCACCGGCUAACUUCGU